CUGUUCGAGCGUCAUUAUAACCCCUCAAGCUCAGCUUGGUGUUGGGGCCUGCCGUCUGGCAGCCCUUAAAAUCAGUGGCGGUGCAUCUGGCUCUAAGCGUAGUAAUUUUUCUCGCUAUAGAGUCCCGAUGGAUGCUUGCCAUUAACCUCCAAUUUUCUAUGGUUGACCUCGGAUCAGGUAGGGAUACCCGCUGAACUUAA
rnacentral:misc_RNA from 1 species